GGAGCCACUGCGUCAGCACUAUCUGUCUGAGGUGGCCCACCUACACAUAGGUGGGACAUAAAAUGGGUUCCUUAUAUAAACUCCGCACUCCGACUUCAUUUUAGAGUUCAACUCUCCAUCUGCGUGAAUCACAUCAUCAAAAGUGUCUUCCCGGGUCGAUGGCCACAAGUGGUGGACAACAUCAGCAUCGCGCUUACGCAGUACAGCCUUCCGAUGGACUUCAUCACCCGAGAGAUCUUCUCGCAGUGGAUGGAGAUUGGUCGCCAAAUUGAUAAUCGGGAUGAGCCAAAUUGAUGUCGGGAUAGUUCCCAUUUGGACGAUGAUGAGCGCACCGAAUUAACAUACUGCUACACCAAGAAGUGGGCUCUCCACAUCAUGGUUCGCAUGUUCGAGGGGUAUGGAAGUCCCAGCAACGUAGUUAGUGAAAAGCAC